AAAAGAGAUGAAUGAAACGAAUGACUAGUAUCACAAGAUAGAAUACCAGAUAUGCAAUUCCGAGGACGGAAUUUUUAUAAGGAGGGAGGAAUGUAAUACCCCGUUUCCCUGAGUUAAAUUUAGAAUUUAUUUUCGAAAUUUAGAAGUAAGAUGAUUCACGCCGGAUAUAAAGAAAAUGAAUUUAUUUUUAAUUCCAACAAAAAUAAAUAUGAUUUACAAAAACAUUUGUAAAUUUAGUUAUUGAAUUUAUAUGCAUUGCAUAUUUAUUUAAUUUAGCUUUCAAAUAUUUUCACGAACUAUUUAUUUAAGCGAACACUGAACGAUUAUUACAGUUUUCAUAGUACAACCCGGAAGAUUUUUAUUUUAUUUUAUUUUAUUCUCACCUACUUCUCUCCCUCACCUAACACACACCCACCUACCCACCUACUCCCUCCUUUUUGCAAAGUUAACAUCACUAAGACACUACCCACUCCCACCACCAACUCCCUGCAAAAAGCAUGCCUACUGCAGCACACCCACUGAUAUACUUCACCCAUCCCCUUCCACUUCUACUCAAUCUCCCACACAAUUUGCCAUAUUUCACUCUCACAAGGAAACCCAACGAACAAGUGCAGAGCUACCACACAAAUUCAAGCAAACCGACCCAGCCGAAACCUUUCUAAAGGCUUUGUGACCAGGGGGAUUAGCACUGCUUUCCCAAGACAGGUUUAUAUGUGAUUAUGAUCUUCAGGCUUUGCCUAACCAGGUUGAGCAACUGAUGGAAUGGAAUGAUGUUGAGCGGGUGUUCCUUUGACAUUUCAAGAAAUGUAACCUUGAGUAUACAUCUUCAUAUGUAUAUCUCACACGUUUUCCGCUGCAAAACACUUUGAUUAGGAUAACUUUAUGUUAUGAAAUUGUGACACGUGUUAUUGGGUAAACCACCUUAAUCAGUUCUCUUUUAUGUGUAUGUUUUAUAAGUAUCCAAAUGAUCAUAUAUGAUCCUAGCUUUUUAUCUAUAAGUGACAUUUUCAUAUACUUUAAUGUUAAGUAAUUGUCCAUUUCCA